rnacentral:rRNA from 1 species
CCUACGGGGAGCAGCAGUGAGGAAUAUUGGUCAAUGGGCGGAAGCCUGAACCAGCCAAGUCGCGUGAGGGAAUAAGGCCCUACGGGUCGUAAACCUCUUUUGCCGGGGAGCAAGGGCGGGGACGUGUCCCGGCCCGGAGAGUACCCGGAGAAAAAGCAUCGGCUAACUCCGUGCCAGCAGCCGCGGUAAUACGGAGGAUGCGAGCGUGAUCCGGAUUUAGUGGGUUUAAAGGGUGCGUAGGCGGGCUUUUAAGUCAGCGGUAAAAAUUCGGGGCUCAACCCCGUCCGGCCGUUGAAACUGGGAGCCUUGAGUGGGCGAGAGGAAGGCGGAAUGCGUGGUGUAGCGGUGAAAUGCAUAGAUAUCACGCAGAACCCCGAUUGCGAAGGCUGCCUUCCGGCGCCCUACUGACGCUGAGGCACGAAAGUGCGGGGAUCGAACAGGAUUAGAUACCCUAGUAGUC